rnacentral:rRNA from 1 species
GUGUCAGCAGCCGCGGUAAUACGGAGGAUCCAAGCGUUAUCCGGAUUUAUUGGGUUUAAAGGGUGCGUAGGCGGCUUAUUAAGUCAGGGGUGAAAGACGGUGGCUCAACCAUCGCAGUGCCCUUGAUACUGAUGAGCUUGAAUGGACUAGAGGUAGGCGGAAUGUGACAAGUAGCGGUGAAAUGCAUAGAUAUGUCACAGAACACCGAUUGCGAAGGCAGCUUACUAUGGUCUUAUUGACGCUGAGGCACGAAAGCGUGGGGAUCAAACAGGAUUAGAAACCCGCGUAGUCC